UAGACGCUGAUCUUAGGUCGGUUUUGCGUUUCCACCAGAAAUGGUUAUGGUUAAGAUUGGGUGAGAUAAACCUGAUCCUAGAUCUGAACCUAGGGGAAACUUCCCUCCGUGGUGUGACCGGCAACCAAUGGCCAUUUACAGCAGGGGUCUUUUUUUAUCUAUACUGACUGUGAAGAGUUUCUCAGAAUGAAAAAGCAGAAGUUCUGACAAUAUCUCUGUAGUUUCAGUUUGGCAGAUUUAAUAGAAUAGAAAGAAGAAUAAAAACCCUUCACAUGUAUUAUGACAAAAAGUUCAUAUUUCCACCCUGUCUUUCAGUACAACAUAACAUAAACAUACUGGUUACAUCUAAUGACACAACUCUCUCUGCACUGAUUCCACUGUUCCACAUGACAUCUACCUACAUGAACUAUUAUACAACUCUACAGCUCUACUCUAUUCCACAGGGGGAGAGAAAGCAUCACACAGGUACAGCUGUCGUGUUGGUGACAGAGACCUGGGUGGAUGUAGUACUAACUACAGGUACAGCUGUAGAGUUGGUGACAGAGACCUGGGUGGAUGUAGUACUAACUACAGGUACAGCUGUAGAGUUGGUGACAGAGACCUGGGUGGAUGUAGUACUAACUACAGGUACAGCUGUAGUGUUGGAGACAGAGACCUGGGUGGAUGUUGUACUAACUACAGGUACAGCUGUAGUGUUGGUGACAGAGACCUGGGUGGAUGUAGUACUAACUACAGGUACAGCUGUAGUGUUGGUGACAGAGACCUGGGUGGAUGUAGUACUAACUACAGGUACAGCUGUAGUGUUGGUGACAGAGACCUGGGUGGAUGUAAUACUAACUACAGGUACACGUUCACCACGCUGUCUGUGUGGGUGGACCAUUUCAGUUUGUCCAUGAUGUGAAGCCGAGGAACUUUAAACUUUCCACCCUCUCUACUACUGUCCCGUCGAUGUGGAUAGGGGGCUGCUCCCUCUGCUGUUUCCUGAAGUCCACGAUUAUCUCCUUUGUUUUGUUGACAUUGAGUGUGAGG
ensembl:lncRNA